CAGGCCUAACACAUGCAAGUCGAACGAUGCUUUCGGGCAUAGUGGCGCACGGGUGCGUAGCGCGUGGGAAUCUGCCCUUGGGUUCGGAAUAACAGUUGGAAACGACUGCUAAUACCGGAUGAUGACGUAAGUCCAAAGAUUUAUCGCCUGAGGAUGAGCCCGCGUAAGAUUAGGUAGUUGGUGGGGUAAAGGCCUACCAAGCCGACGAUCUUUAGCUGGUCUGAGAGGAUGAUCAGCCACACUGGGACUGAGACACGGCCCAGACUCCUACGGGAGGCAGCAGUGGGGAAUAUUGGACAAUGGGCGAAAGCCUGAUCCAGCAAUGCCGCGUGAGUGAUGAAGGCCUUAGGGUUGUAAAGCUCUUUUACCCGGGAUGAUAAUGACAGUACCGGGAGAAUAAGCCCCGGCUAACUCCGUGCCAGCAGCCGCGGUAAU
rnacentral:rRNA from 1 species